AUAUCAGGUAGUUUAAAUAAAGCUGAAUGUGUACACCUGCUCUAAUGGGGAAUCAACAGUGUAAUGAACUCAUAAGUAAUAUGCAUAGAGCUGCUGUGGACACAGCAUCAGGAGUUUGACCUGUGAAUCAAACUGUUACUGAGCUCAAUCACUGAUCUACUGCAGCUGCAUCGUUGUCAUGGAGACGGUGCUCCAAAGGCAGGAACCUCCACAGAUCAGCUUAGUCAGUUGUAGUGAAACUGAUUCCACCCCAGCUUAACAGGCUUGUUACACACAUACUGUAACUUCACUUUAUAAAUCCUAAGGCUUCAUUGAGCAACUCGUGUGAGCUUUAUGUUUGAGGAGUGACAAUCGUGGCCACAGUCACAAUUUAAAAAUGCCAGUCCUCUGCGACUCUCCACAGAAGUCUACGAAACAUGUCAGACUUGGGCAGGCGUCGGACCCACAUGCACAGCACAAAGGCAGGGUGAGGAUUAAUACAGGCUUUAUUUCAGCAAGCAGAGUGUAAUGGAAAAAUUUUACCUUAGUGCUGUUUCUUAUCCAACACACUCGUCAUGUGCUGGUUAGGUGCAAUACUGAACUGAACAUUCUUACACAAACAACUAAUCUCUUGUGCUGUCGUACAUCAAGUCUAAACAUCUGAUGUUCCAUUUGACUGACUAAUAAUUUAUGAUAUAUGUUUGUCUUUUACACCCGGACUCUGGCUCCAUCCUAUCUGACUCCCCACCAGACCCAAGGCUGUUAAAGCCAAUGCAUCUUGUCUUGGAAGCUCGGUGUUCCUUCCUUUGGAUAACAAGACAUGACGAUGCAGAAGUGAGAAAGCAAACAUUCUCACUCACAGUGAGAUAAGGUGGCACAAACAAUUCCAUUGCUGCAGAGAGACAUUCCACCAGAGCCAGAGAAAGGGGUUAAAAGGCAGAAGCAACUUGAGGAUCGUGGGCUCUUUGCAUCACACCUUCGUGGUGUGUGCACUGAUCUCCAGCUGGUUUUUGGUUUGUUGAUGUGCACGAUCAACAUCCAUGCUUUUGAUUUGCUUUCCCCAUUAUUUUUAUUUUCUUUAUUAUUUCAAUAAAUUGCACAAAAGGACAACUCUCUCAUCUGCUUCUUUAUGGAAAAUUUCCACCACAGUUUUGGCGUCUACGAACAGGAUCCGCUGCAGGUCGUCUGGACGGCGUGACCAGGGACGAUAGUCCUGAGGACUAGGGUCGCUCAGCCUCCGAACCUCUACAGCUGUUCUGAGUGGGAGGACUGCUCACCCGUCUGGAUCGCCUCUGACGAGAUCCAACGAACUCAAAAUCCAACCUCUACUCGGCCCGGUGAGAGAGAUUCCGUUUUGUCGCGACUUAUCGAAGAAAAAAAAAAAAAGAAAGAAAACUGGUUUGAAAUUGGUUUCAGGUAUUCGAGUUUACUUGGCUCUGAUCAUUUGGUUUAGGGAAAGUAAGGCAAAUAACAAUUAAUUCUAAAACAUCCCCUACUAGACUAAAACAACGACAAAAGAAAAUAUAACUAGGACUAGAGAUGAUAAUAUUUCUAAAACGACUAUUUGGCUGAAAACAUCCAAAAUAUAAUAUUAGGGAAAAGAAAAAAAAAUAAAUAAAUAAUUAUAAUUUUAAAUUUAAUAUUCGGGUAAAAAAUUAAUUAGGUCAAAGUCUGCCCUGGUGGCCGAGACGGUGGUUGCUAAGGGUUGGCUCGUGGGACCGAGCUUGUUUUGUCUGUACUGAGGAUACAGACCAGUGUGCAGAUCUGAGCGCAGUCCAAAGGGUGUGGACAAGAAAUAAAAGACGGCUUCUGAAAUACGGAGCGCGUUUGCAGGGGGAAGUGGUUUUGAGAUACGAGGGACCCGGGUCUUAGAGGGGCCUGACGGUGAGGGACCACUUCCGAGAACCCUGUCGCUGAUCUGAGCGGUUCCCUUUCUACGGAGACGUCCGUGGAAGAGAAAUUUAGGAAAAAGGUUCCGGCCGGAACACAUAAAAGUCUAAGGCAGAAAACCGCCGGGACUCUGAAAGAUGGGUUCGGGGCGAUCUAAGUCUCCACCACCAGACUGCAGCAUUACAAAAUUAAAAGUAAUUAUAAAAGUAAAAAGUAAAUAUGGUUAUUAGUGCGUUUCAUGUUUCCAUGAGUGGGAAACUGGUUAUGGGUUCAAAAGGAGAAUCACUUAGUGUAAAAGACAUAUGCACCUUAAAAAGAAAAGUUAGAUACAAAAGAUGAGAUUUGAAAAAGCAAAACUAUGAAAACUAAAGCCCUAAAAGAAACAAAAGAGUGAUGUGAGUAACAGAAAAAAAGGAGAAAACAACUCUGGGGAAGAAUUGUUUGCACUCUGCCACACACACACACACAGACCACACACACACACACAAACACACACAUCAUGUCAAGAGCAAAUGCUCCCAUUGUUUCUGCUCUCUAUCCUAAUGCAGAACUGAGCGCGAUGAGGGUAAAUCCGGAUCUGGACUCCUUUCCCACCAUCAGCAGAAGAACCGAAGGAGAAGAAGCGCCGACCAACAACCAGAACAGGGUGGAAGCUCUGACACCACAGCAGCUGGAGGCCACAGACCACAGCAUGGACGCCUCACAGACUCCACAACGUCUGCAGCCAUCACGUUCUGGGCUCAUCAGAUGAACCAGCUACUACAAGCGUGUGUGUCUGACACAGACACCUGCUUAUGACAAUCAGCAAAGGAAAACAAGGACAAAGCAACAGCAGAGAAGACGUGCUCUGACACAGACACUGGUUGAAACAACAGGAGAGGCUUCAGACGUGAUCGGCCCAAUAGAGCUGCAUGCGAGGAUCCAGGAAAGGUCUGUCAUCGAGGAACAACUGUCCCAUUGAAAGGCUUCACCCACUGGUGCUCACAUCAGACUGAUGGUUGGGGAAGGAGGAAGGUGAUGGUUCCUUUUCACGUGACGUACAAGACGUUCCACACGUCCCUCUGUGAAAACAUGAUGGAGACAGACGCAGGACGUGGGUCCUUUCGUGAACAGAUGUCAACGGGGUGGAGACUGGUGAACGACUUCUGACCCCAUGUGACGUAUUUACCUACUUUGCAUACUUUUAGAAAACUUUUUUUUAUUCUGCCCGUUAUGUGCAGCAAACAGUGAACUUGGUUCCUCCACAUUCUAAUGACACACUACAUGCUUUUAUUUUCAUUUCAGAGGACGCUCUGAUCCAACACUCAGCCUUAGGAUGUGAACCAGUGGUCAUCACACCUAAAUCUGACCACAGACCAUGUAAACAACAACACCCUCUUAAAGGAGCCAUAGAUGGCGUUACUGCAGACACCACUAAGCUACUGAAACAUUGGAUGCUACAGGCCACAAAGAGAGCCUGUCUAAAUUACAGUUUGUUCAGACCAAGGUUAUUUUCUGGGUCAUUGUAAUUACAGCUGAUGGCAAAUCCAUCUCACCCAACAGAGUUGAAGCAUUUUUAAACCUGCCUAAACCGUGCACGUAUAAACAGCUGAUGUCUUUUCUAGGUCUUUGUUCUUAUUGUAGGACCUUCAGUCCUAACUUUACUGUCUUUGAGGCCCCACUCAGGGUUCUGAUGCAGACGUCUUCAUCGUCCACUUCUUGUCUCACGUGGACGUCUGAGGCUGAACAACGUUCACUAACCUCAUGCUUGCUCUUCAGACGGCUCCUACUUUGGGUCUUCCUGAUCUGACCCUACGCGACCUUUCACUCAAACAGUGGAUGAGAGAUCAGGUUGUACGACUUCUGUUCUUUUGUCCUCAUACUGUUUUUGAUUCUUUUGGAAUAGAUCACAUCUUUCUACAGCUCGAUGGCUUGGAUACAACACCACCUUGCUCAACAUGCUGAACAUUACUAUCAAGAGUCCGUCUUGAAGUCUGGCUCUUUGCUAAGACACUACUCUGCUCAGGCUGCAGAGUUGACCGCGUUGACUGAAGCUAUUAAACUAGCAGAAGGAGAGACUGUUACCAUCUACAGACUCCACAGAUGCUCUGUGGAAGCAUAGGAAGCUUUUGAAGUCUGAUUGCAAACCUAUCUUACAUCAUGAUUAGGUUCUGCUUUGCUGGACGCUGUCCUGCUACAGUACCUACAGCUAAUGCUGUUUGUAACUGUCCAACAUCAGUGACGACUUUGUUUCUGCCGACAUGCAGCUGCAGACGCUGCUGCGAAGGUCGCUGCCCAACAACCCCUCCCUCUCCUGAUCCUUGUUCCCUCUCUCCAACUCUCUCUACCCUUCCUUCCUCAUCUCCCCCUUGUGCUUUAAACAUUUUGUACCUCACAGGAACGCAGACUCUGGCUGACGAAUGGUUCCACCUGUAGCCAUGGAGUCUGGUUUGGGCCUGAUGGCAGCCGUGCCGCCCAAACACUUUUUCCCCACAAUUCAGAUUUCCCAACAGGUGAAAACAGUCGACAGGACCAUUACACCAUCCAACCAGGGCACUGGGCGAUUGUUAAGGACUUCAGGAGGAAGCACUGGGACUCCAAACGGUGGCGAGGCCCCUUCCAGGUCCUUCUGACGACCAACACGGCUGUAAAGAUCGCAGAGAGAGCGACUUGGAUCCACUCCAUCCAGGAAGGUCCCGGAUCCAACAGACGACCCUACAUCUACAUCCCACGAAGAAAACCACCACUAACGAAAAGAAUUGAGAAGGACGACCCUCGCUGUGCUCACACACGCACUGAGGCGAGGCUGCGUUGACCGUUCAGCUAAAGGUGUGAGCCAAGCGCCGCCUGAAGCUGCGCCGGUGAAUCACACUAUCAGACCAUACAUCUACACACAUGCUCCUGAGAAAACACACACACGAGCAGCCUUGAGUUGCCAACGCUGGACGACGUGUAGACUCUUCACAUCACGGGAGUGACAGUGACUCAGACGACAUUGGGAGGAAACCUGGCGGUGAUAACGAAUCCCAAGUGUCUCUGUGAUCAGCUGAUCACAACCUGAAGAACUCCAACGAACUGUCAAUACUUCAACACACAGAUGAAAGACAACACAAGCGGCAAUAUGCAUCAUCAUUCUGGUUAAAUCCCUGAAUCUCCUAUUCGCUCUAGACGCAAAUGUACAAUUAAAGAUCCGAAAGCAUGAAAUCUAUCUUAAGAUUAUAUGAUACAGAACCCCACCGGAAACCUAUGGCUAUUAUACAUUAAUUGUAUUUAUUACAUUACAAUUGAAUGGCCAUAGACACGUUGUUAGCAGAGAAAAGAGGCGUUUGUGUUAUGUUCGGAGAGGCAUGUUGUACUUACAUCCUGAAUAACACUGAUUCUAAUGGUAUUGUGGCGAAGGCGCUCCACGGCCUUCAGAAUCUCAGCUAACUCUGGUAUAGGUUCUUCCUCUUGGAAUUGGCUAGACGAAAUGUCUGUAAAAUGGAAAUCUGUUCUCAUGUCCGCAGCUGUUUCCUUUAUCAUUGAGAUGGCUGUGAUUCUCUUGUUUGGUUUUUGCAUUAUCCCACUGGUUAGAGGUCUCAUCAUGCGUGUGACCUCAGCAACACUCUCGUAUCAAAUGACACAAUGCACUAUGUUCAAAAACCCCAACUCUAACUCACUUAAUGACUUUGACGAUGGUAUGGGCUCAUUUUCUUCACAUGCCGAUACAGAGGUUAUUCUUGUUUAACUACCCACCAAAACAGCUCCCAACCUUUUAUCCCUAAGUUACUUGCAUUUUUAUGUGAAGGUGUAUUUUUGAAUUUUGACUUAAUACACUCACUGUUUCAUUUGUAAGGGUUGUUACUACAAAAUGCAAUGUUUGAAAAAUUUUAUUAUUUUAGUGUUUGAUUAAUGUGUAAUCAAAAGGGGGGAAUGUAAUGGAAAAAUUUUACCUUAGUGCUGUUUCUUAUCCAACACACUCGUCAUGUGCUGGUUAGGUGCAAUACUGAACUGAACAUUCUUACACAAACAACUAAUCUCUUGUUCCCUGUCGUACAUCAAGUCUAAACAUCUGAUGUUCCAUUUGACUGACUAAUAAUUUAUGAUAUAUGUUUGUCUUUAACACCCGGACUCUGACUCCAUCCUAUCUGACUCCCCACCAGACUCAAGGCUGAUAAAGCGAAUGCAUCUUGUCUUGGAAGCUCGGUGUUCCUUCCUUUGGAUAACAAGACAUGACGAUGCAGAAGUGAGAAGGCAAACAUUCUCACUCACAGCAAGAUAAGGUGGCACAAACAAUUCCAUUGCUGCAGAGAGACAUUCCAUCAGAGCCAGAGAAAGGGGUUAAAAGGCAGAAGCAACUUGAGGAUCGUGGGCUCUUUGCAUCACACCUUCGUGGUGUGUGCACUGAUCUCCCCAGCUGGUUUUUGGUUUGUUGAUGUGCACGAUCAACAUCCAUGCUUUUUAUUUGCUUUCCCCAUUAUUUUUUAUUUUCUUUAUUAUUUCAAUAAAUUGCACAAAAGGACAA